UACGUAGGUGACAAGCGUUGUCCGGAUUUACUGGGCGUAAAGGGCGCGUAGGCGGUCUUGUAAGUCUUGUGUGAAAUCCCUCGGCUCAACUGAGGAACUGCACGGGAUACUGCGAGACUUGAGUUCGGGAGAGGGAAGCGGAAUUCCGGGUGUAGCGGUGAAAUGCGUAGAUAUCUGGAGGAACACCGGUGGCGAAGGCGGCAUCCUGGACCGGCAUUGACGCUGAGGCGCGAAAGCCAGGGGAGCAAACGGG
rnacentral:rRNA from 1 species